UACUCUUCCCUCAAAUCCCUCCACAGAGCACUUCAUCAUUUGCUCCGCCCUCUAAUAACUCAUGCAAGAAAAGUUCAGCACCAUCGGAGAGAAACAGGACAGAAUUCAGAGAAUGGCUUUAAGGCCUUUCCUCCAGGCGGAAUCCUCAAUGGCCGAACCCAAAUGGAAGACAGAAGGCACAGCGAGCAGCCCCUUGUAGUUCCCACAGGCAGCCCCGUGGGCAGAGAGCAGGAUGGAGAAGAGGAAAUGUACGGGCACAGAUUUAAAAUGGAAUGGUCGUGGAAAUACAUUUCGAAACUUGUGGAGCGUU